ACAACAGCUACACACAGUAACAUCCAGCAGUGUGUAUUCUUGUGUUGUCCAGCCCCGCUGAACGUUUAGGGGAAGGGCUCUAUUCAGCCCCCUCAGUCCUCCCAUUGGCUCCAUCUGCAGUUACUUCUCCUUUAUGACUUCUCGGGUUGGCGACGACAGAGUUUUUUCCAGCACAAGAAACGUGGCCGCAAGUUAUCAAAACUUGCCUACAUGGUCGAGACUUUUCUUCCUUAGCAGAUUAUAUUUGGUAGCCUAACAAAACCUAAGGAAGAAAUUAAGAGUAACCUUGUGAGAGAAGGACAAAAAGUGACGAGCAGAGAAACCAACACCAAGACUUCUGGUCACUCCUCUCUUGGACCGUGCUGUCAGCAUGACGGAGAAACCUCCACUGGACAGCAACGAGGACGAAGCUUGGCUUGGCGAAGGCCAGUCUGAAACUCAGCUUACGACUGUGUGCGGUCCAGAUGGAGUUGAGACAUGCGAUGCAGACCGACCAGCAUGGGACUCUAAGAUCCAAUAUGUGUUGGCCCAAGUGGGAUUCAGUGUGGGCCUCGGAAAUGUGUGGAGGUUCCCAUACCUUUGCCACCAAAAUGGAGGAGGGGCCUUCAUGCUGCUGUAUGUUUUUCUUUUACUGAUUGUGGGAGUUCCACUUUUUUUUAUGGAGUUGGCAGCUGGCCAGAGCAUUCGCCAGGGCAGCAUCGGUGUGUGGAAGCACAUCUCCCCAAAGCUGGCAGGAAUCGGUUACUCCAGCUGCAUGGUCUGUUUUUAUGUGGCUCUUUACUACAAUGUUAUUAUUGCUUGGAGCUUGUUCUACAUGGGUAAUUCUUUCCAGUAUCCUCUGCCAUGGCAGCAGUGUCCAAUUGAUGUAACCACCAAUGACACAGUGAAAGAAUGUGCAGGUUCUUCCCCAACGUCAUAUUUCUGGUUUCGGAAAGCCCUUGACAUCACCAAUUCCAUCGAUGAAACCGGAGAGUUUAACCCCAUCAUGACGGGCUGUUUAUUGGCUGCUUGGGCAAUUGUCUCCUUGGCUAUGAUCAAGGGCAUCAAGUCUUCUGCAAAGGUGAUGUACUUUUCCUCAGUCUUUCCGUAUGUGGUGCUCUUUAUUUUCCUCAUCAGAGGGUUGAUGUUGGACGGUGCGAUUGACGGAAUCACAUAUAUGUUUUAUCCUAAACUGGAAAUCUGGGGUAAUGUGCAGGUGUGGCGGCAGGCUGCUACACAAGUGUUUUUUGCCCUUGGAUUGGGCUAUGGCUCCGUUAUCGCAUAUUCCUCCUACAAUCCAGUCCAUAACAACUGCCACAGGGACGCGCUGAUGGUCUCUGGCAUCAACUUCAUGACGUCUGUGCUGGCCUCGCUGGUGGUUUUUGUUGUGCUGGGUUUCCGUGCCAAGAACAUUGCUCUACGCUGCGUGGCUGAAAAUCUCGGUCUUCUAAGCCUCAUGUCAUCCCAUGGAUCUAACCAGCACUUGGUUGGCCCUGGUUGGCCUGGGAUCAACAUGACAGAUCCCAGCUCUGUGUCUAUAGCUGAAUACAGAGAGUGGUACAGUCACCACAGCUCCAUGGUGGGCCCUAACAUCACUGACUGCAGUCUGGAGCAGGAGAUGAAUAAGGGUAUUGAAGGGACAGGCCUGGCAUUCAUAGCAUUCACUGAGGUAAUGGCCCUUUUCCCUGCCAGCCCCUUCUGGUCCACAUUGUUUUUCCUAAUGCUGCUCAACCUUGGCCUCAGCACCAUGUUUGGGACCAUGCAGGGAAUCCUCACACCUCUCAUGGACAAUUUUAGCCUCUUGGGCCGCCACCGGACUCUACUCACUGUGUCCAGCUGUGCUUUGGGGUUCUUAAUAGGACUGCUAUUCACUCAGCGCUCAGGAAACUAUUUUGUGACUAUGUUUGAUGACUACUCUGCAACUCUACCAUUAGUCAUUGUAGUAAUCUUUGAAACCAUUAGCGUGGCGUGGGUUUAUGGAACAGAUCGCUUUCUAGAUGACAUUGAAGUCAUGCUCAAAUGGCGCCCCCCGGUGGUGUACAAAUAUCUUUGGAAGUAUGUUUGUUUGUUGGCGAUGGUUGGUCUUCUGGCUGCAAGUUUGUUGCGCAUGGUUUUCAAAAGGCCCACAUACACUGCCUGGAAUCAAACCACAGCUUCUGAGAUGACUCUUGAGUACCCUGGCUGGGCUCUUGCUAUGAUUGUAUUGCUGAUAGUCGUUGCCAGCUUGCCUGUGCCUAUUGGCUACAUCCAUUUCACGUUGAAAAACCACAUGGUCCGUGACACUCGCUCUGAGGAGGGAAGCUGCCAGGAGGUGCACCGUGAGUUGUACACCAAAUGCAGCUCCACUGAGCAGCUGGAUUCCAACUCCCAGCACAGAGUCCCUUCUGAGGAAGAGGAGGCUCAUCCCAGGACUGCCUUCCUGCCGAUGGGCAACGAACACUACCGGCUCUUGCCCCAGCAAGAGGUGGAAGAUGAUGAUGAACAAGAUACUGUGGUGUGAACAUGUGUGGGAGGAUAACAUGUUUAGAUUCUAAACCUCAGAGAGUGUAUGAGCAAGACCUUGCAAGAGAUAUUGCAAAGUGAACGGAGGGCGCUCAUAAACAGAAUUAUUCUUAAUCUGAGGAAUCGUUGGGUUGCACAAAUUAUCACAUUCAGCAAGUUCUACAUUGUUGACAAGCCAAAGUUAUUUUAACUAUUUAUAUUAUUGAAGAUACAUUACCAGCCAGAAGCUUUUUAGAUUAUGUAGUUGUGAAACUACCACUCCUCCAUGUAGCUCCCUCCAUUCAUUUUCUGAACCACUCACACGGUUUGGAAAAUAAAACACUCGCAGAUACAUGGAAAAGGAAUAAGCUGCUAUGUUUAGUGAAACAAAUAAAUUAUGUAAGGUUUUAGGAAAUUGACAAACCACCAGCAUGUUAAAUUUGUGUGUGUGUGUGUGUGUGUGUGUGUGUGUGUGUGUGUGUGUGUGUGUGUGUGUGUGUGUGUGUGUGUGUGUGUGUGUGUGUGUGUGUGUGUGUGUGUGUGUGAGAAAGAGGUAGAGAGAGAGAGAAAGUCAGUGAAUUUUAUACACAUUUUACAAAGACACUACAGUGACACCCAUUUAUGAAAAUAUUGUAAAUUGCUUCUCGCCGAGAAAGGAAGAGAUCAAUGUGGUGUCUGGAAGAUGUACAUGAAGUUGAAGACAAGCUGUUUUCUGACACCAGGCCAGCAUCAGCAUGUCACCCCACUAUCACCUAUCCUAAUCAGGCUGUUUAAAGAAUCAGUAUUGUAAAGAUGCAUAACUUCACAGUGUUAACCUGUUACACUGUGUUCAACUCACAAGUGGGUCCAUCACUGCAAACUUUUGACAAAGUGUUGUCUAUACCAACAGAUAAACCCAAAACGCAUUGUUUUUCAUGGCAGCAAUAUUACUGCAAAUGGAAAUAGAUUUGGAAGCCUUUUGAUCCACAUUAUGUAUGUGCAGAGGUUGAUUUGUAGUUCUCCUUUCCUGCAUGCUCUGUCUCUGUGUC